CAAAUGCGAUACGCAAUGCGAAUUGCAGAAUUCCGCGAGUCAUCAGAUCUUUGAACGCAAGUGGCGCUGGGUUAACCACUACCCCAGCAUGUUUGUUUCAGUGCGUUAGGAAUCAUAAAUCUUAAUGCGAUUGAAUUUUAACAAAAAAUUCUCUCGUUAAACAUGAAAGCGCUGAAUUCGUUUCAGUGCCAACCGAAGUAGUCACUUCUUCUUUCUUUAGAAAGUGAUCUCGGUUGUGCUAUAACUGAAGAUUUCACUUAAAGCGUUUUUUUUAUAUUUAUUAAAAUUGCUCCAAUCAACACCUGAAAUCAAGCAAGAUCACCCGCUGAACUUAA
rnacentral:misc_RNA from 1 species